UCCUGGGUUGCUAAUCAGUCACGCAAAUGUGAGAAACUGUUCGCGCCCACUGUCGUUGGUACAGCAGAAACCUCAGAAUCUCCAGGGAAGAGAAGAAAACGACACCCUCAGGAGAGGGGCAGCAGAGGAAAACAGCGGAGAGGAACACAGGUGAUAAGAAACAGACUGGAGACUGUUCCCAGGGAGGAAGGGAUGCAGCAGAGGUACUGAGUGGCAUUCAGUCAACAGAACAACAAUUAUCUUCGUAUAAGCUGCAUCAGAGACAACUGAAGAUGAAAAAAAUAAAACAAAAAAAUAAAAACAAAAACAAAAAAACCCCCUACCAUCCCCAUAUGUAACUAAUUUGUGCUGUGCACCAACAAGAACCUGCUUUAAAUUUCCAUGCCAAUUUACAACCCCCAGACUGUACCAGCCAAGGUUAGUGGCUACUGAGAAUACCACCAGGACAGGGCUAUCUAAAGACACAUUAACUAUACAAAAAGAGACACUGUACAGUUUAAAAACAAAUCUUACAUAGCCUCACAUUUCAAUUUUUUUCUUUAAAAGGAGUGAGUUGUGUACAGGGGGGUUAAAUGCUUUAUAGACAAGAAAAAAAACUGCGCUAGAACCAACUUAUUCAUCAUCAUCAUCAUCAUCUUCAUCUUCGUCUGCCAAGCUGAAGGAGAAGUAGGAGAAGGAUAUUGCUGCCUACAGAACUAAAGGAAAACCCGAUGCAGCGAAGAAGGGGGUCGACAAGGCUGAAAAGAGCAAGAAAAAGAAGGAAGAGGAAGAUGAGGAGGAGGAUGAAGAGGAUGAGGAAGAGGAGGAUUAAAGGCUUUGAACCACACAUUUAAAUACAACUCGGUUCUGGGCAGAGGCGUUAGGAUUUGUUAGUAAACAUUGCUCCCCAUUGUGUCCAGACACCCUCAUGUGUGACACUCACUGUUUUUGCAAUGAGGACCCGCCAAAGACACCACAUUAGUUCUUGGCAUUUUCUUCAACUGUAAUUGGAAGCAUCAAGAAUGUAGUGAGUUUUCAGUGGACUAGAACAUUCAGAAGUGACAGUCUGGGUGUCUGGCAGCUAGCCAGGGGUUGUCUGAUCCCUGAGAGCUCAAAAGAAAUGACCAAAUUGCAAAUGCCAGGGCUUUCAGCCCAGUGCUCUGCCUAAGCUGUGUGCUGUUUUGACCAGUGAAGAGUUGUAUAAAUGACACUUCUUAUAGGGUCAGAAUGACUUGCAAAUAGUAACCAUCUUUUUUAUAAAUUUUUGGCAAAUAGAUACUGGGCAUUUUUAUUUUUAUUUAUUUUUUCAUUUCAGAUGUAUAUGUUGCAUGCUUUUGGGUCUACAAGAAUCCCACCUUUGGAUGAGCAUGGCUUAUUGCUCAUAUUGAAUCUUUGCAUAACUGAG